GGGAGUGGGCGCAUGAUCGCUGGCGGCAAUUGCCGCCAGAGGAAAGUCCGGACUCCGCAGGGCAGGGAGGUUCGUAACACGAACUGGGGGCGACCCCGAGGAAAGUGCCACAGAAAACAAACCGCCGGGCAACCGGUAAGGGUGAAAAGGUGGGGUAAGAGCCCACCGCUUGCGUGGCGACACGCAAGGCACGGCAAACCCCUCCUGGAGCAAAACCAAAUAGGGAAGCGUUUGAGGGCGGCCCGCCCGAAGCUUCCGGGUAGGUUGCAAGAGAU
rnacentral:RNase_P_RNA from 1 species